AUUGAACGCUGGCGGCAGGCCUAACACAUGCAAGUCGAACGAGUGGCGGACGGGUGAGUAAUGUCUGGGAAACUGCCCGAUGGAGGGGGAUAACUACUGGAAACGGUAGCUAAUACCGCAUACCAUCGGAUGUGCCCAGAUGGGAUUAGCUUGUUGGUGGGGUAACGGCUCACCUAGGCGACGAUCCCUAGCUGGGCUGAGAGGAUGACCAGCCAACCUGGAACUGAAGAACGGUACAAAGUCCUACGGGGGGCAGCAGUGGGGAAUAUUGCACAAUGGGGGCAAGCCUGAUGCAGCCAUGCCGGGGGUAUGAAGAAGGCCUUCGGGUUGUAAAGUACUUUCAGCGAGGAGGCGUUACUCGCAGAAGAAGCACCGGCUAACUCCGUGCCAGCAGCCGCGGUAAUUC
rnacentral:rRNA from 1 species